CGUCGUUUCGUCCGACCUCGUACGUCCCGCACCAAGCCUUCGCCCGCCGGUUUUUUUGGGUGCAUCUCCGAUUUAUUUCCGUCUGACUCCCACUCGUGGUCCCCUAGGACGCAGCCCACGCACCCAGUCGAUCGCUACCCAUCUCUCCCUGCCUCCCAACCUAGGGUUCCCAAACACCGCCGCCCUCCGCCGCGUGUUCCUCCGCCACUCUCCCCACGCGCCGCGCCGUGGGCACCAUCGCCGUCUGUCUCUCCUGCCCAAUCGCUUGCCGCAACGAGUCACACCGCCUCCUCCAUCCCCGUCACCUUCUGUCGGCCGAAGAUAGCCACAACGCCGAUGAGUGAAGGGGGUGGUGCCGUCGGAUCAGAGACACCAGGCGGUGGUGACAAUGACAGCGGCCGACAACCUAUGGGGAUUAGCAGGACAUGAGGGCACACAAUAGGCAGCAGCGCGCAAUAUCCAUGUUCAGAAGUGGCGGUUUGGUGGUGACAACAGAUAAAAGCAUCAGUGAUGUGUUUCGGCUCUUGGCUUCCUGCACUGUUUGACUUCAGUUAAGUACUGCCGCCGCGCUACUUCUUAUGUGAAGGUACUGCUACUACUGCAGCGACGGCCAAUGAGGUAGAAUCGUGGCUGCAACUUGGCGAGUUAAGUAGUGGCUUAACUGAACCUGCAAUCUUGCAAGAACUGUUAUUGAUUUUUCAAUGACCAAGCUGUGGUUCGUUGAUUUUGAUUGUACCUAUAUUCUCGUUCUCUAUUAUACCUCUGAACAAAUAUUAAUCUAGGAGUAUUUCCUACAGAGAUCAAGCAGAACUAAUCUACCGAAUUCAGAUAACUCUGUGCAACAGUGUGUUACCAACCAUAGAAAGAGUGAGCCCAUUAGGUUUUCCUGUGAUAAAAUGGCCUGAAGAUUACAGUUUCAAUUUGUUAUUCCAGUCUAGCUCAGGUGUUUCAUAGACUUUCAGAAAUAUCAAAUCUUGACCUUCACUGAAGUGGGCUUCCUUCUGAGAAAAAAAGUACCAAUGCAAAAAUGAUUUAUUUGAUCAGUAUUCGCAAAAAAAUUACUUUGAUCAGGGAAGAGGAGGCAGUGAGGGGAGUGAGCAUGGUGACGGGUUGCUUUGGCGUUCUCUUGCACGGGGAUAGGAAGCUGGAGUAAUCCAAGACCAGGACUAGCCUACAGCCAGGAAAGAACCUGAACCCCAAGGUGAGUGCAUCCUGUCUGUUUCCCCACUUAUUUAUUUUUUCUUGGGGAAUUUCGAUAAGGCGGUGCAGGUCGUUGAGGUGAUAUGUGAGUUGGAUAGGCUGGCAUGUAAUUGGUUUGGCAGCGCCUCGUGGUCUGAUCUCCGUUCUUGUUUGCUUCAAUAGGAAGGAGGGGCUCGGUGUUGAAAAAAGAACAGAGAGAAUUGUGCUGAUCAGGAGAAGUUAACUCAAAAUCCAAGAUGUGACCUUCACAUAGCUCACAAACUUAACCACUAUUUGAUUCUUGGUAACAUUGUACGGGACACAUAACAUCCAGUUGUAUAACUGUAUAAGUAGGGUGUACUUGAUACCUAUGUUGUUCUUUGUUAACUUGUUCGCUGAAUAUUUUUCUUGCGGGAUAAGCAUCCGAUCUAUUCAUCAUCUUUCAAGACAGUACAAAUAAAAAAUUACAACCAGAUCCGUAGACCACCUAGCAAUGACUUGCUCACUGAAUUAAUUUGUUUAAAUUAUAUAGGAUGAAAUUUUAUUCUUUUUUUUAUAAAGGGCGCUUUAUCAGAAUUCAGUUAUUGGUUUCAAAGUACUUGCUUAGAUUUGGGGACAAAGA